AUUGAACGCUGGCGGCAUGCCUUACACAUGCAAGUCGAACGGCAGCACGGGAGCAAUCCUGGUGGCGAGUGGCGAACGGGUGAGUAAUGUAUCGGAACGUACCUUUCAGUGGGGAUAACGUAACGAAAGUUACGCUAAUACCGCAUAUUCUGUGAGCAGGAAAGCAGGGGAUCGCAAGACCUUGCGCUGAUUGAGCGGCCGAUAUCAGAUUAGCUAGUUGGUGAGGUAAAGGCUCACCAAGGCGACGAUCUGUAGCGGGUCUGAGAGGAUGAUCCGCCACACUGGAACUGAGACACGGUCCAGACUCCUACGGGAGGCAGCAGUGGGGAAUUUUGGACAAUGGGCGCAAGCCUGAUCCAGCCAUGCCGCGUGAGUGAAGAAGGCCUUCGGGUUGUAAAGCACUUUCACUUGGGAAGAAAAGCUCAUCGUUAAUAGCGGUGAGCCCUGACAUUACCUUGAGAAGAAGCACCGGCUAACUCCGUG
rnacentral:rRNA from 1 species